GUGCUGACUUCGGCAGCACAUAUACUAAAAUCCAAACAAUACACAGAUGAUUAACUUGCCCCCUGCGAAAGGAAGACACACAAAUUCAUGAAACAUUCAGUAUUUUU
ensembl:snRNA U6 U6 spliceosomal RNA